rnacentral:rRNA from 1 species
GAUGAACGCUGGCGGCGUGCUUAACACAUGCAAGUCGAACGAAGCAUUUGCGACAGAUUUUUUCGGAAUGAAGUUGCUUAUGACUGAGUGGCGGACGGGUGAGUAACGCGUGGGUAACCUGCCUUGUACUGGGGGAUAGCAGCUGGAAACGGCUGGUAAUACCGCAUAAGCGCACAAUGUUGCAUGACAUGGUGUGAAAAACUCCGGUGGUAUAAGAUGGACCCGCGUCUGAUUAGCUAGUUGGUGAGAUAACAGCCCACCAAGGCGACGAUCAGUAGCCGACCUGAGAGGGUGACCGGCCACAUUGGGACUGAGACACGGCCCAGACUCCUACGGGAGGCAGCAGUGGGGAAUAUUGCACAAUGGAGGAAACUCUGAUGCAGCGACGCCGCGUGAGUGAAGUAGUAAUUCGUUAUGUAAAGCUCUAUCAGCAGGGAAGAUAGUGACGGUACCUGACUAAGAAGCUCCGGCUAAAUACGUG